GGGUUGGCUUAGUGGUUAGAGCUUAGGUCUCGUAACCGAAAGGUUGCGGGAUCGAAUUCCCCUAGAAGCUG
rnacentral:tRNA from 1 species